UUAGCGAUUCCAGCUUUAUGCACUCGAGUUUAGAGCAGAGUUUGAUCAUGGCUCAGAUUGAACGCUAGCGGCAGGCCUAACACAUGCAUGUCGAUGCUCAGCACGGAUUUUGCUCUGGGGGCGAGUGGCGGACGGGUGAGUAAUGUAUCGGAAUCUGCCUGGUAGUGGGGGAUAACGUUUCGAAAGUGUCGCUAAUACCGCAUACGCCCUACGGGAGAAAGCAGGGGACCGUAAGGCCUUGCGCUAUCAGAUGAGCCGAUAUCGGAUUAGCUAGUUGGUGGGGUAACGGCUCACCAAGGCGACGAUCCGUAGCUGGUCUGAGAGGAUGAUCAGUCACACUGGAACUGAGACACGGUCCAGACUCCUACGGGAGGCAGCAGUGGGGAAUUUUGGACAAUGGGGCAAAGCCUGAUCCCAGCCCUACCGCGUGUAUGAUGAAGCCCUCCGGGUUGUAAAGCACUUUAACAGGAAAGAAAUGCAGCGGGUUAAUCCCCCGGGAAAAUGACGGUACCCGCAGAAUAAGCACCGGCUAACUUCGUGCCAGCAGCCGCGGUAAUACGUAGGGUGCAAGCGUUAAUCGGAAUUACUGGGCGUAAAGCGUGCGCAGGUGGUUCGUAAAGUAAGAUGUGAAAUCCCAGAGCUCAACCUGGGAACUGCAUUCUUAACUUCCGAGCUAGAGUGUGUCAGAGGGAGGUGGAAUUUCGCGUGUAGCAGUGAAAUGCGUAGAUAUGGGGAGGAACACCAAUGGCGAAGGCAGCCUCCUGGAUAACUACUGACGCUGAGCUGCAAAUGACUUUUUU
rnacentral:rRNA from 1 species